rnacentral:tRNA from 1 species
GGCGGGUUAGUGAAGGUAUCACGGAGCAUUUUGGCUGCUCAAUCACGAAGGGUUCGUAUCUGUCA